GUCCACGCCCUAAACGAUGUCGACUGGUUGUUGGGGUUUGACACUCUCAGUAACGAAGCUAACGCGUGAAGUCGACCGCCUGGGGAGUACGGCCGCAAGGUUAAAACUCAAAGGAAUUGACGGGGACCCGCACAAGCGGUGGAUUAUGUGGAUUAAUUCGAUGCAACGCGAAAACCUUACCUACCCUUGACAUGUCCGGAAGCCUGGGGAAACCCGGGUGUGCCCGAAAGGGACUGGAACACAGGUGCUGUAUGGCUGUCGU
rnacentral:rRNA from 1 species